GUCUUUCCUUGAGAGUAUGUUGUGGAACUGCUUCGCUUUUGAUCCUUCUUAUAUAGUCCAUUUAAUAAGGUAAAGCAUUGCUUGGAGUAUAGUCGCUAUUAUCGGUAAUGCUCCAUUUAUAUAGUCUUCUUUGCAGAGCUGCUAAACCCGGUUGGAGGUGAGACGGUUUUGAAUACCCCGCAAGCAGUCUUCAUAGUCUCUUUUAACAUUUGGGUGUAUAUGCUGUCACAGGCAAUUUAAAACCUCUUUGAUACCUAUGAUGACCAUGGUUUUAUGAACUUAAUUUGUUCAGUUCACUGUUGGAGUUGGCUUCGUUGGGAGUGGCGAGGUAUAUAUAUAAUAUUAGUAAACAAUACAAUUUAGUGCCUGCUGCUACCAAUCGAGACUAAAGCGCCGGUAGAUACAACAAGCACUAAUACCAAGAGAACCUGUUAUAGUUUAUGUAGCAUCCUCGGAAAGUAGGAAAAGUGAUGUUCAGACACCACUCAUUAGGAAGUUCUUUCUAUGGUAGCGGUCGUCUUUGCUACUAGCUUUCAACUAAUAGUAGUGUACUACCUAACUUAACUGUUAUUGUUAACCUAUUUGAUAGUAUCAAAGUGGAUUUCAACAGCUCUGCCUUCGCGUCGCAUAAAGAUGUUACGUAUAAGCAAGCAGUGCUAGUAUUCAACGCGAAGCCUCGAAGCAUCAAAGACACUUCUAAUACAAAAUAGUCAGUCUUUGGCACUACACAAUUCUAGUCGCACGCAUGAAGGCACUAGGCUCAAGGCAUGAUGGAGUGGUAACGGACAUGCCAAAACACUGUUUUAAGAGCAAUUCUUUCGAACCGGACGUAAUACCACUUAGAACUCUCCGGAGGAAAACAUGUCUCUCAGCUCAGAGCUCGCAUCAGGAAGCCUGUUUGGUCUGAAUUAAAUGAAAAUUUAACCCUGCAGAGGACUUUCUGGAUGGUUAUUGCCACGCCUUUGAAAAGUAGAGGACAUGAUCCGACACAAGAUGAAUUUAAUUGCAUGUUAACCUCCGUCUCCGGAUGGCAACUUUUUGAGGCCCGUCCGAUCGAAACCAUCAGGGCCCCGCCAGGACUAAGGCGUCCGCUGAAGCGAAUUUUAUAUAUAGGCACGAUCUUUUUCGUGCGUUUUUACGAACAUGUUCCUGGGGGCGUAACAGCAAUCCUUACGACAUGAAGAAGGUACUAAACUUGACGAAGAAUCAAAAGAUUUGGUCCAACGUCCAGGGCAUAAAAA